GGAACCCUUCGGACUCUCCGGCACCUUCCCCUGAGACUGACCCCAAAUCGAACCCUGACCUCGGGCACCUGGCCUGUCUGUUCCCUCCACUUGAAGGCCCACCCUCCUCCAACCAGGCCAUCCUGCCCAACCCUCUGUCUCCGAGCUUGGCUGACACUCAACUCGGCACACGUUUCCUGAGCACGUUUCCUACUCUGUCUCCAGGGAGCUCCCUCUGAGCCGGGCCCAGCCGCACCGGGUCUGAGUCACCGGCAACCCUCCUACAAGACGAGUAAGCCAUGACUUAGCCGGUGAGUGGGGACAUACCCAUAAGCCCAGCUGAGAGUGUGCAGACUCCGAAGGGGCCAGGGGAGCGUGAGCAUGCACAGGCUCUUCCCGUCCGCAGGAAAGGGAGAACUCACACAUUCCGUCAAUAGCAGCUGCUGAGCUCUGCUGUGUGCCAGGCACAGGUGAGGGGCCAGGCACGGACACCAUCUGGGCCUCCUCAGAACUUACAGUCUAGAUCGGGAGAUGAAAUUCAUCGAAGGAAAGUAAAAUUGCGACCGCAUUAGGGGCGUUGGACGAAAGGUCACGCUGCAAGCAGAGCCCACACUGGGGAAGCCGCACGUGGGAGGGCGGCCUGCUCCCUCCCUACACCGCAGGCCAGUGGCCGGGGGUUCCCAGCACAGCGUUAGCUCCUGAAGUCAGCACAGGCCUCGAGCCAGGGUUCUCCCAGGGAUCCUCAGUCCUCCCAGGUCGCUGGAAGCUCCCAGAGUCCCCCCUUGUCAUGUUAAAGGACCUCCACCCAUUCCCGGUGUGAGAGAGAAAAUGCACGUUCUAAUAAUUUGGCCUUGAGCGGAGCAGCCAGAGUGGAACAGGAGCAUUGCAGAGAGCAGAAAGGUUCCUGGAGAAAGUCAUGUCUGACCGAGAGCUGACCAAGGAGCGCCCCAGGCAGAGGGAGCAGCUAAAGGCCACAAACCACAGAAGUGAACCAAAGUAUCUGUGACUUUGUCCCCAGUACAAAUCAGAUAUUUUCAUACCACAUUGGUUGGGAAAAUACCCUGAAAUACUAACGCCUUCUACCGAGCUGCCUUCUUCUGUGAUGUUCCGAUUGCUUCCACGGAGCUGCUGCUAAGCACCCGCCCGCCAGAACUUCUCCCACCGCUUCUGCCCAGCCCUGCUGCACGGCCAUCCCGGAGGCUGUUCCUCGCGGGCCCCUGUCUCCAUUUCCCAUCAGCCAAAGUUCAGGGUGACUCGACAGACUUCCCCAAGGUCACAGCUUGCUUCCCAGAGCAGAGAAUCUGGGCCAAGUUGGAAAAUGGCAGCCAGACUUAGGGACAGUGGAGACUGUCGAUGGAGGAGCUCCUGGGGUCGCACAAGCUGGGGUUGGACCCCGGCAGGCCGCUUCACCAGCUGGGCGCUCUGGAACCCGCCUUUUCCUUCCUCUGAGCCUUAAUCUUCUCAUCUGCAAAACAGACCAAUUUGAAAGGGUUUGUUACCUGCACAAUACUGUGUACCCGAAUGGAGAUGGUUACCCAGGAAUGGCUGGCUGGCUGGCUGGACAGACAAGGGAGUGAAUUUCAGGCUGGGGCAGGGAUCUGGGGCAGAUGUGGGUGGCUCCCCGCCUCACCUAUACACAUGACAAACUCUAGCCUCUAGUUCCCAUUCCUCCCCCCAGAAUCCAGGGAUUUGCCAAACAGGUAGCAGCUCUCGCCUGGAAAGAAAGUGACUCAGGCCUCCAGGAGACCUGGAAUGAAUCAGGGAGGCAGGGACUGAGUGUGGGGCCCCCACCCAGGGGCCUGGGCCUCUCCCAGCAGGAAGAGCGUGAGCCGGUCCCCAGAGCUCACUGGGUGAGAGGGCAAUUCUGCUGAAAUGUGCCCCUAGCCAGGCGAUGGGGCAAAUAAUAAUCACCACCACACUCACUCCCACAUUCCAGACCUGUCAGGGCGUUUCCACGGGUGCUAUCUUGUCAUGCACACAUCUCUGAACCCUGCGUCAGGGAGGCCUGGGGUCUCGCUCUGCUGCCUGUCCUCACCGGCCCAGGCAUGUCACCUGGGCCUCAAUUCCCUUCCCUGUCCCUGUCAGCCCCAGCCCCUUCCCGUGCUGGCUGUCGCCAGGAGGUGGCGGAGGCCGGAGCUCCUCUCCCCGGGAAUGGCACAGGGUGAGGGUCCCAGCCCUGCCCCUCACCUCUUGCGAGUGGCCUGACCUUGCACGGCUCCCGUUCCUUGGCAGCCCCGAAGCUCUGACACCGGGACACCCGGAGACAAGGCCUCGGCCUGGGCCUCUCCUCACACUCCAGGGCCAGCCGCUGGCUCAGCAGCUCGGCCCAGGAUGUACCAUCAGCAGCUCAAACUCAGCACGCCCGGGACUGAACUCUGGAUCAUCCCCCAAACCCAAAAAUGAA